rnacentral:lncRNA from 1 species
CAAAACUUAUAUACAUAUAUUCAACAACAACAUAUACAUUAACAAUACUAUAAUACUGCUCAAAUAUAAUAUCAAGACAUAAUUUAAGUAUAUAAAGCAUGUAAAUGAAUUAUAUCAAGCAAACUGGAGAAGAUAUUUAUAUCUUUCGGCAAUUAACCAAUGAUCCAUACUCUGAAGAAAAACUACAAAGCUAUGGCUGCUUCAUUCUUCAGCUGAUGAUUCUUCUUGCACGUUCUUUCUUGCUUACUUCAAUGGCUUGGAUAUCUGGAUCACAUAGGUAUGAAUUCUGUCAAUACUUUUCUACUAAUGAAUACUUUUGCAUGCCUUCUAUAUGUGCAAUAUUUUCAUAAUAAUAAUCAUUUCAGCUGCUGGUCAAGAUUUAUACUGAAUGUUAUGUGAAAUACAGACUAUCAACUUAAAUAAUUACCAUGUUUACUUGUGUAUAGU